UUUGCUGUGCUCCAUGUAUAGGAGCCUUAAAGGUAAAGGUAAAAGAACCCCGGCAGUUAAGUCCAGUCACAGACGACUCUGGGGUUGCGGCGCUCAUCUCACUUUACAGGCUGAGGAAGCUGGCAUUUGUCUGCAGACAGUUUUCCCGGGUCAUGUGGCCAGCUUGACUAAGCUGCUUCUGGCGCAACGGAACACCGAAACCACAGCAGCGCAAGGAAACGCCAUUUACCUUCCCAUCGGAGCGAUGCGUGAUGUGGCCAACAUUGCCCUUUGCAAGACUUGUGAGGAUGCUAGCAUGUUUCAAAGCACACAUCGGCCACAGUCCUAUUACCUGGAAUUAUAGAGGCAGGUGCAUUGCCAGCAAUUGAACAGUGAGGCUUCUCUUCACUAGAGCAGGCUGUAAAGAAGAGAGGUAAGAAAUAUCAAUUUUAUUCUGUUCUGCUUUAAGAGAGAUGCAUUGCCUUUGAGAAGUCAAUCCUGUAGCAUUUGGCAUUGCCUGCUAUACCACCUGCCUUUCUGUUUCUCUCCCUCCCUCACUCACUAUCUCUGUGUGCAACCAGAACAUUAAACAAGAACCAGCUUGCUUGACCUAAUUAGGCUUAUAAAAUGGAAGGACGCCAUUCUGCAUCUCAUUACAGCCUUCAUAGUACAGAAGAUAAAAGACAGAUGAAGGAAACUUUCUUAAACCAAUUGUUUAUGUUUUCAAAAAAGUGUAGAUAACUUCUAUCUGGAGGGAUUUCAAGGCCCUAGGACAGGGGUAGGGAACCUAAGGCCCGGGGGCCGGAUGCGGCCCAAUCGCCUUCCCAAUCCAGCCCAUGGACAGUCCGGGAAUCAGCAUGUUUUUACAUGAUUAGAAUGUGUGCUUUUAUUUAAAAUGCAUCUCUGGGUUAUUUGUGGGGCCUGCCUGGUGUUUUUACAUGAGUAGAAUGUGUGCUUUUAUUUAAAAUGCAUCUCUGGGUUAUUUGUGGGGCAUAAGAAUUCAUUCAUUCCCCCCCCCAAAAAAAUAAUGUGUGGCCCACCACAUGGUCUGAGGGACGGUGGACCGGCCCACGGCUCAAAAAGGUUGCUGACCCCUGCCCUAGGAGGCUAUGAAAAUGCAAUUGUUUUCAACAUAAGCAACUCACAUCUUUGCGGGCCCAUGCUCAACAGGCCGGGGGCCACUGAGGGGGUGACUGAAGAUGUAGAAGCAGCAAAAUGG